UGAGGAACAUGACCUUCGGCGGGGGAUAGCCGGCCCAACGGCCGGGUAAUACCGCGUACGACCACAUGGGGACAUCCCUGAGUGGUGAAAGCAGCAAUGCGCCGAUGGAGUGCCUCGCGGCCUAUCAGCUAGUUGGUGAGGUAAUGGCCCACCAAGGCGACGACGGGUAGCCGGCCUGAGAGGGUGACCGGCCACACUGGGACUGAGACACGGCCCAGACUCCUGCGGGAGCAG
rnacentral:rRNA from 1 species